rnacentral:rRNA from 1 species
AUUGAACGCUGGCGGAAUGCUUUACACAUGCAAGUCGAACGGUAGAGGGGGCAACCCCUCGAGAGUGGCGAACGGGUGAGUAAUAUAUCGGAGCGUGCCCAGUCGUGGGGGAUAACGUAGCGAAAGUUACGCUAAUACCGCAUACGAUCUAAGGAUGAAAGCGGGGGAUCGCAAGACCUAGCGCGAUUGGAGCGGCCGAUAUCAGAUUAGGUAGGUGGUGGGGUAAAGGGUCCCCAAGCCAACGAUCUGUAGCUGGUCUGAGAGGACGACCUGCCACACUGGAACUGAGACACAGUCCAGACUCCUACGGGAGGCAGCAGUGGGGAAUUUUGGACAAUGGACGCAAGUCUGAUCCAGCCAUUCCGCGUGCAGGGUGAAGGCCCUCGGGUUGUAAACUGCCUUGGUACGGAACGAAAAGGUCUCUCUUAAUACGGGGGACUCAUGACGGUACCGUUGGAAUAAGCACCGGCUAACUACGUGCCAGCCGCCGCCGUAAAAC